UCCAUAUAUCAGUUGGGAAAUGGCCCUCGUGCUCUUGUGGGUAAACAUCGGCGCGUUUCUCAGUUCGCUCGCCGUGGCGGUCGGUUUGAAGAAGCCCGUCGGCGAAAUUCUCAGCUAGUGUGAGUUACGGAAGGCUGCUGCUGAGAAGUAUCCU
rnacentral:misc_RNA from 1 species